ensembl:lncRNA
GGUCCGGGGGACUUAUUCCACGCGUCAGCGGACCAGCCUCCCCGCGCUCCCGGAGAAGGGGGUCGGCGACGCGGAGGCGGGGUGGGGGCCGUAGGGGAUGGAGCCGAGGCGCGCGCGAGAAGAACCGAGGAACCCCCAGGACAGGCCCGAGAAGCGGUUCCACACCGGCAGGUCCAGCACCUCCAUGCCUGGAGGCAUAGUGCCGUCCGGGAGCGGCAGGACGCCGAGCAUGGCGAGCAUACACCUGUCUCGGCGCGGGCCUGCGGCCCCCACGCUCUCCACCCAAGUGCCCAGUGCUGCGGUGCGGCCCGCUUUGGCUCGGGAUGUCUGCCUGAGAAGCGCCUUACAGAGGGACCCGGGCGGUGGUCGCUGAGGCAAAGUGGCCCACGCACCCUCCACACUGCCCCCGGACGGCCGCACCUGACACUCCUGGCCCACUGGGGCUCCUGCCUUUUUUGGGGGAAAGGGGGAAGGGAUGGGAAGACCGGGUCUCACUUGUCGCCUGAGCUGCGAUCACGGCUCACUGCAACCUUGAACUCCUGGACUCAAGUGAUCCUCCUGCCUCGGCCUCCCAAAGUACUAGGAUUACAGGUUAAGCCACUAUGCCUGGCCCCCUCUUUUCUUCACUCUUUUAUGCAUUCUUUUCUUGUUUCCACAUGCAUUCAUUUGUCCGUUGUUCCUGUUUUAAUGCUUAGGGAAACACUGAGCGCCAAGCCGACCGUCGGGUAUUGUGGUCUCUGGGAUGACAAAGACAUGGUCCUUUCCCUCGAAGACGUCACAUUAAACUGACAAGUUCAUUAGGACAAGUUCAUUCAUUCUGGCUCUUCUUUAAAGUGCACGAUCACGAAAGUCUGUGACGGGGCCAUGUUUCUGAGAUGUUAGAAAGUGCGACGGAUGCGCAAGGAAUAGGAGAAGCGAGUCGCCCUGCGCCCACGUCGGGAUGAAAGGGAGGGAGCCAGGAGGGAGCGUCCGGCGGGCGCGGAGGGAGGGCGCACGGCCCCAGGGCUGGACUCGCAACCCCAGCGCCCUGCGGCACCCGCGGCUGCUCUUCCCUCUUUGUGCGUGAAAGGAAGUCGCCUGUGGGAAACCGAACAGACAAUCGGUCGCGGUUCGUGAAUCUUAAGAGAUGAGAGUCGGCAGUACAUGACCAAAAGCCGUGUUCGGCUUCUAGUGGUGUUGGCUUGAUAGUUUGGACGUGGCCCACAGCCUCCUAGAGCUCGUACCCCUCCUUUUCACGAGGUAGCAGCAGCAAAGUCCGCAGUGCCAGACUCUGUGAGUCUGCAAGCGUUUAAAAGAUCUCCGGGUUUAGCUCAGGCAAAUAAUAUUCUGCCAGGUAACAAUUUUAAUAUGCUUGUCCAGGUAGAAACAGUUGGACAGACUAUGUACAUAAAAGCAUACAUAAUUGACCCUCUUUUAAGUCACUUUCAAGGGGUUAUUAGGCAAAAAUGCCUUGGUUUUGAGCCGCUUUCUUUUUUUUUUUUUUUUUCAGGCGCAAAACUGCAAGUUUAUUUUAGUAACCUAAGGUGUGGAGAAGAAGUCUGUCGGCCUCCGGCAAAGAAGGCCGGCAGAGUUCCCCUCCCCCAAGCUCUUGGACGGAGUUCCAACAUCCCAACAGGACUGGGAAGCUGGGA